UACGUAGGGUGCAAGCGUUAGUCGGAAUUACUGGGCGUAAAGCGUGCGCAGGCGGUUUUAUAAGACAGAUGUGAAAUCCCCGGGCUCAACCUGGGAACUGCAUUUGUGACUGUAGAGCUGGAGUGCGGCAGAGGGGGAUGGAAUUCCGCGUGUAGCAGUGAAAUGCGUAGAUAUGCGGAGGAACACCGAUGGCGAAGGCAAUCCCCUGGGCCUGCACUGACGCUCAUGCACGAAAGCGUGGGGAGCAAACAGG
rnacentral:rRNA from 1 species